rnacentral:tRNA from 1 species
GAGGGUAUAGCUCAAGUGGUAGAGCAUUUGACUAGCAUGCAUGAGGUCCUGGGUUCAGUACCCAGCACCUCUU